rnacentral:misc_RNA from 1 species
AACAUGUCCUAGCGAGAUGAGUAAUCCAGAUACAAUACAUGGUUGUUAUGUCAAGAACAUGUAUGGAUUUACUUCCCCUCCAAUCCCGCACAGCCUUCCCUGUCUUCUUUACCCUUCCUCAAGAUCUCUUCUUUUCUUGCAAAACCAGGCAUGCCCAUCGAUACCUAGUUGUAGAUAUAACUAUGGAGGUGAUUUUUACCCUAUUUUGUUUGCUCCUCAAGCAUUCACUCCAAUAUUCGGCAAUUUCUGGAAUAGCAGGAGAAAUAGUCUCUUUCUUUUGAGAGCGAGUCGCAGAGAGUCUCCUUAUGAAGUUCUAGGUGUGUCUCCUUCUGCAUCUCCUGAUGAAAUCAAAAGGGCUUAUAGGAAACUUGCCUUGAAGUAUCAUCCUGAUGUUAAUAAGGAGGUACGUAGUCCUUAAGUGUCGACUCCUAUUUCUUUUAUUGGAACUUCAGUAAAAUUUUGGUGCAUUAAGCUCCAAUUUGUAUAGAAUUUAAUUGGGUUUAUCUAGUUUGCUUAGUUUUGUCUGGUUUAUUUUGGCUUAGUUAUUGAUUAUAUUGAAUCUUGAGGAUAUUGGAUCUGAUUUAUGUAAAGUUUCGUUCUUUCUUUGAAUUACAUUCCUUGCAAGAGUGGGGAAGUUGUUGGAGGUUCUUUUGUUCAAGGGAAAAUCUCUAGUGUAGUGGUUUAUCGAGCAUUUAAUGCAAAAGCCUUGUUAACCUGGGGUAAAUUUAAGGAUCUUUUAAGCACUUGCUUCAUGAUAAGAAGGAUAUUAAGACGAAUUUGGAGGAAAUCAAUUCCACAAUACCAGUCCUAGUUAUAAAAGGAAUUUUCGAAAUCCUGGCCAUGUUUUGCAUUCAUAUGUCCACAGAAACUGCAUUCAUGACCUUUUUAAUGCAGAAUCUGAAAUGGGUAUGUUAAUUUGGACUGAAUUUGAUCUAUUCCCAUGAAGGAAUAACUAAUCACUCUUCAGAUAUAGAGGCAAGUAACCAUUUUUGUCCAUAGGUCACUUUUAUUAAAAUUCUAAACCAUUUCUAACGUUUGGCCUUUGUUAUUCGUUCUCUCUCUCUCAAAAAUUUUGGGAGACAGAAAAAUGCUCAGGAUAAAUUUAUGAGGAUUAAGCAUGCAUACAAUACAUUGCUGCACUCUGAAUCUUGGAGGAAGUAUGAUGCUGGAAAUUCAUCUGGUUUUUCAUACUCUGGCACCGAAAGAAGUCAAAGCUGGAAUGCCCAAAAUGAAGAAGAGUUCUAUGGAUUUGGUAAACUAAUAAACCUACAAAAACCUUUUAUUCAACUUGUAAAGAACUUAUUUGCUUACUGAGUUAAAAGCUCUUUUCCACUUGUUAUUUAUUUGCACUACUUUUUUUUUUGCCAUUAUUUUCACCCUUUGAUGGUGUAUUCUGGGAUUAUGUCAAACUUGACUCUUCCUGAUCAUCGAACUAAAAAGAAAUGCUCAGAUAUAUGUUUGGUCACCAACCUGAACCAAAUUAUGAUCAAGGAGAACCUGAAAUUUAAUACUUGGUUAAAACUCAUGGCCUUUUUUUUGCUCUUCUGCAUAUGGUUUUUUUGGCUAAUCUCUUCAGUUUAAUAGACCAUGUCAUUAGAACCUAAUCUAUCACUCUGUUGUUACGUAUGUUAGAUUUGUAUCAUAAAAAUACUUCCCAUAUGAGGGUAGGCAGACACAGCUGACAUGUCAUGUUCUCAAAUAUCUGAUAGCCUUAUUUACAUAGGUGAAAUGUCCUAGAAUUAGUAGUUUCUUUGCCAUGUUCUUGCAUUCUCUUAAAAUUUCUUUCAUGCAUCCUUUGUGGGUAACUUAAGGAAAUUAUUGUUUUCUUCUGAAGGCUUUAUUAGGAGUUAGGUUCACUUGUUCUUAUAUUUAACCGCUUUAUGCUGCAGGUGAUUUUUUGAGAGAUGUUCAGAUAGCAAUAGGUAGUUUGUACUGUCUAUGAGAUAGGACAAUGAUCAUACUUUUUUUCCUUUUCCUGUUUCAAGAAGUUGCUGGGCAUCUUUUCAUUCACCUUCACAUUGCCAGUACAUCCUAGUUCCUCAUAGUUCUCUGAGUCUGCUAUUGGUGUUACAGGGGACUUAUUUAGAGAUCUCCAAGAAGAAUUUCAGAAUUGGGAAGCCAGUGCUUCAUCACAAGGGAAACCAAAGAGCCUAUGGGAGGAAUUAGCGGAAAUUGGAGAAGAAUUUGUGGAAUUUCUAGAGAAGGAGCUUAACAUAACAGAUACAGAGUUUGAAGCAAAUGAUUAUGGACCUCAAAAGGACAGUUCAUUUUCUGCUUCUGAGACAGAGAGAAAAGGAGGUGUUCAAAAUGAAGGUAGCAAGGGUAGCGGCAUUAAAGAUAAUAUUGAUGAAAUUGAAGCUACUCUUGCAAAGCUUAAGAAGGAAUUGGGAUUGUAGCAAGGAACUCAUAAUGGAAUUUGUAAGUUAGAGGAAAGGGCAAAGCAUUAGCAUACCAUCGUAAAAAACAUAUUCAGAAAUAGUUGAUUGGAUUUGAUACCAAAAAAAAAUCUCAUCGGUUGACCAUCUUGGUACAGUUCUGGAAGCAGGCAACCUCAUUGCUGUGUGAGGUGCUAAAAAUGUUCAUGGCAUCGUAAGUUUUGGGAGGAGUGUUGUUCAUAUUUUUCCAAUAUCUGGUCACGCAAGUCCUGAGAUUGUUGAACUGAAGAUGUGAUUCAAAGGUAGGGCUGCAAGUAUUCCGGAAUUUGAUGUACGAGCGUUUUACUUUCAAACAAGAGCAGUGAACACGAGUUACGAAUGUUGCAAAUCCUUGAGAGUCGUCAUUAAUUUUAUUUUUCUAUUUUACGUUGUUGAUAGCCUGGGAAAUUAACAACCCAACUAAAAAUUCCAAACCAAAUUUGAGGCUGUGGUAUAGUUAUUGAAAUUAGUUCUAGCCUGAGCAGAACUGCAAAAGAUUGUCACUUGAUAACAUAAUUUUGCCAUCAAAUCAUGCGACGGAUAGGUAUA